rnacentral:rRNA from 1 species
ACCUACGGGGCGCAGCAGUCGAGAAUAAUUCACAAUGGGGGCAACCCUGAUGGUGCAACGCCGCGUGGAGGAUGACGGUCUUCGGAUUGUAAACUCCUGUCAUCUGGGAGUAAGACCUGGGCAUUAAUAGUGCACAGGGUUGAUAGUACCAGAAGAGGAAGGGACGGCUAACUUCGUGCCAGCAGCCGCGGUAAUACGAAGGUCCCGAGCGUUGUUCGGAAUCACUGGGCGUAAAGGGAGCGUAGGCGGCGUGGUAAGUCAGAUGUGAAAUCCUGGGGCUCAACCCCGGAACUGCAUCCGAUACUGCCGUGCUAGAGUAAUGGAGAGGUAGCUGGAAUUCACGGUGUAGCAGUGAAAUGCGUAGAUAUCGUGAGGAACACUCGUGGCGAAAGCGAGCUACUGGACAUUUACUGACGCUGAGGCUCGAAGGCUAGGGUAGCGAAAGGGAUUAGAUACCCCGGUAGC